GUUCAUCGAAAUUGGAUACAGACAGAAAGAAUUUCGUUGGAGAAGGUGAUUUGGAGCAUUUAUCCAAACUUGUCGAAGAGAAAGAUGGAGGUCCUUCUUGGAUUGUUAUGAUGGAAAAAUCGACCUCAAAUAUGUCCUAUCAAGCUUGGAAGAGAGAGCCUGAGGUAAUUCCAAUUUCCAAUUCAUUAACUAUGAAAAAUCUAUCGAACACUUUCAUCUUUUGUUCUUAUUAAAGUUCUAUCCAACUAUAGUAUUGGAUAACAUUUAUGAAGCAUCAAGUAUGAUACUUUCAUAAAUAAAUCAAUAAAAGUACAUUGCAAUUUCUUGAAUUGUCAUACAACAUUGAGAGUUUUACUUUACAAAUUACAAUAUAUCUAUUUAUAUCGAGUUAGUGACUAAAACUAUUAUUUUCUAUUACUUUAUAGAUUGGACCUCCACAAUAUCGUUCAAGAAGUGUGUAUGAAGAUACUACUCCUGAAUUAAUGAGGGAUUUCUUUUGGGAUGAUGAAUUCCGAUUAAAGUGGGAUGACAUGUUAAUUGAAGCCGAAACAUUGGAAGAGUGUCAAGAAAAUGGAACAAUGG
rnacentral:lncRNA from 1 species